GGCCCUCUUUGCAAAAAGUUUGGACACCCCUGAUUUAGUGCUAUACAAUGGAAAAAUAACUCAAAACCACUCAUUCUUUUUUCUCUGUCUCUUUACGGUACACGCAGACUUGUUGCGUGUACCGUAACUUGCGUGGGUGACAUUAUGAUGCAAGGGAUCUAUAAAUUUAAAAUAAUAUUGGAAUUCAUUCUAAAAAUAUUUUGCGAUAUAUAUCGUGCAUCGUGAUACAGCAAAAAUAUACCGGGAUAUUAGCAUUUUCCUCAUAUCAAUCAGCCCUAAUUCAGAGUUCCUUUCACUGGAACUAAGAGGCAAAGUCCAGCUCCUGAAAAACAACACCACAAUCUCCCCUCCACCAAACUUUAUACUUGGCACAAUGCAGUCAGACAAGUACUAUUCUCCUGGCAACUGCCAAACCCAGACUCAUCCAUCAGAUUGUCAGAUCGCGCCUCCACUGCUCUAGAGUCCAGUGGCGGCGUGUUUUACACCACUACAGACGACACUUUGCAUCACACUUGGUAAUGUAUGGCGUGGAUGCAGCUGCUCGAACAUGGAAACCCAUUCCACAAAAACUCUCUGCACUAGUGCCAUCACUGUGUUGUCUGGCCCAUGCCAGACGAUACAGAAGCUUUGGUAUAUGCGCCGAGCAAACAAGACGAAACCCUGUGUUGGCGCGCAUAUAGCUUUAAGGAAAACCAUGUGACCGAUACAGUUCCUCGUUUGGUUGUGAACGAGUCAAAUUGUAUUUAUGAGGGAGAAACUGUGUCGACACGUUUGUGGUUUUUGUUGGAUGGAGAUACUUUGCGUUCUUUGCUUUGCGUUGAUUUUUGGCUCGUAUUACUGGCAUCGAUCAAUCAAGAAAGAGGAUGUUUUCUCCCAUGUGGGAUCAUUUUGAUCUUAUCACGGAGAAUAAGGUAAAUUAUUAUUCUAUUCUUAUUUCCACUUCUGAUCAUUUUUCUUUCAGCUUAUUCAAAUUCCUUUCCAUGGGAUAUUUGAAUUAGUUUACAUGGAUUAGCUUUUAUUUACAGAUGAAACUUUACUCACAGGUGCUGUCUUACUAAGCACUCCCACAAUGCUGAGGCAUCAUCAUGCCCAGCAUGAUGGGAAUGAACCAGUUAAUAAAAACCUGGUGUUUCCAGGAAGCAGGGGAUUGAACUGGAGCUUCAACUCAACCAUCCCAGUUCAGCUGAACAUGGAAAUCGAAGAGAGCCAGGCCAAUUUAAAUGUCACCACUGAUGGAAUUAUCAUGGUACAAAGAUGCAUCUCCGAGGCAAACACACCAAGAUCACAGGAUCCGCUACAAUACUGAGAAAUGCAAAAACGUAUACAAACUUGCAAUUAAAUUUCUAUGUGCGCCAUCAUCAUCAUCAGUGUAAUGUAAAGGUGUUCACAAAACCAGGUGACAUGGUUUUGUAAAUUGUGCAAUCGCCUUGGCCCAAAGCUGUUACGGAAGCUGAUGUUUCUGAAUAAAAACAUGUGAAUGAACA